rnacentral:misc_RNA from 1 species
GAAAUGCGAUAAGUAAUGUGAAUUGCAGAAUUCAGUGAAUCAUCGAAUCUUUGAACGCACAUUGCGCUCGCCAGUAUUCUGGCGAGCAUGCCUGUUCGAGCGUCAUUUCAACCAUCAAGCUCUGCUUGCGUUGGGGAUCCGCGGCUGCCCGCGGUCCCUCAAAAACAGUGGCGGGCCCGCUAGUCACACCGAGCGUAGUAACUCUACAUCGCUAUGGUCGUGCGGCGGGUUCUUGCCGUAAAACCCCCAAUUUCUAAGGUUGACCUCGGAUCAGGUAGGAAUACCCGCUGAACUUAAGC